rnacentral:rRNA from 1 species
UACGUAGGGGGCAAGCGUUGUCCGGAAUUACUGGGCGUAAAGCGCGCGUAGGCGGCUUUGCAAGUCGGGUGUGAAAUCCCCAGGCUUAACCUGGGAACUGCAUUCGAGACUGCAUUGCUAGAGUAUGGGAGAGGGAAGUGGAAUUUCCGGUGUAGCGGUGAAAUGCGUAGAUAUCGGAAGGAACACCAGUGGCGAAAGCGGCUUCCUGGUCCAGCACCGACGUUCAGGCACGAAAGCGUGGGGAGCAAACAGG